GAGUUUGAUCCUGGCUCAGAAUGAACGCUGGCGGCGUGCUUAACACAUGCAAGUCGUACGAGAAAUCUUCUGCUUGCAGGAGAGAGUAAAGUGGCGUACGGGUGAGUAAUGCGUGGGUAAUCUACCUUUGAAUUCGGGAUAACAUGUCGAAAGGUGUGCUAAUACCGGAUGAAGUCCAUGUAGUAAUGACUGUAUGGAUGAAAGAUGGCCUCUACAUGUAAGCUAUUGUUUGGGGAUGAGCCUGCGCACCAUUAGCUAGUUGGUGGGGUAAGAGCCUACCAAGGCGACGAUGGUUAGCUGGUCUGAGAGGAUGAUCAGCCACACUGGAACUGGAACACGGUCCAGACUCCUACGGGAGGCAGCAGUGAGGAAUUUUGCGCAAUGGGGGAAACCCUGACGCAGCAACGCCGCGUGAGUGAUGAAGGCUUUCGGGUCGUAAAGCUCUGUCGAUCGGGAAGAAGGUGAGCCAACAGAAUAUGUUGGUUUAUUGACGGUACCGUUGAAGGAAGCACCGGCUGACUCCGUGCCAGCAGCCGCGGUAAUAC
rnacentral:rRNA from 2 species